rnacentral:rRNA from 1 species
UACGGAGGGUGCAAGCGUUAUCCGGAUUCACUGGGUUUAAAGGGUGCGUAGGUGGGAAUGUAAGUCAGUGGUGAAAUCUCCGUGCUUAACAUGGAAACUGCCAUUGAUACUAUGUUUCUUGAAUUUUCUGGAGGUCAGCGGAAUAUGUCAUGUAGCGGUGAAAUGCUUAGAUAUGACAUAGAACACCAAUUGCGAAGGCAGCUGGCUACAGGGAUAUUGACACUGAGGCACGAAAGCGUGGGGGAUCAAACAGG